rnacentral:lncRNA from 1 species
CAUUUUCUUGACAGUUAAUGGAACUCCCAAAUACUUGAAGGGUAAUUCUCCAUAUACAUAACCAAGAUGGUUGACAAUAUGCUGCUGUUUAUCCGGAGAGACACCACCAAAAUAGACAGAACUUUUACUCAAGUUAGCAAUCAUACCAGAAGCCUCAGUGAAUUGAGAAAAAUAUCUGAACAUGGUUGUGACAGCCUUCAAAUCUCCUCUUGCAAAUAACAGUAGAUCAUCUGCAAAACUAAGGUGUGUGAUAUUUAACCUUUUACAUCCAGGAUGGAAUAGGAA